UGCAAGCAGGGAAUGUUGGAAGAAUACUCGAGAAGCGUGUUACGCCUCGUGUUUUACACGUUUCUCUCGUAUUCUCCCAACAUUCCCUGCGUGCA